rnacentral:lncRNA from 1 species
AUGUGGUCUUCGCCCUCCACGCCCACCUCCCUCCUCCUCCAGCCCUCACCCCCGAUCCCUGUGCUGCCCACAAAAAUGCAGCCCAGAUCUGAGCAGCAGCUGACGUCUGCGGCCGGCUUGACCCGCACACCGCAGGCCAGGCCCGCGCGGGCGACCACCGGGCGGCCCCGGGCGCCGAGUCCGGAGUCAGCUGCACCCGGGACCCGCGCCGCCCGAAGCACGCCUGCGGCGGCGAGAAAGCUGGGCUCGCGCCGACUUCCCGGCAAAUCGUCUUUCCAGGCACAACUUUUUUUCCACUUCUGCGGCGGGCGGUCGCGGCUGCCAGAGACGAAGCGGCGUUCCCUCCUUCCCCAGCGUCCGGCACCCGUCCCGCCAGCACCUCCCCGGCCCCGGUCCGCCUUCCGCGCGGGCUCGGUGGGCGCCGCGCCGGGUGCCCCGCGGGUCGAGGCUGCGCGCGGGCCCCGCCGCCCCGACUCACCCGGUCCCGGCUCGGCGUCCUCGGCUCCGAGCCGCGGCUCCCCGUUACGCCUCCCCGCAGCCACCUCUCGGUCUCUCCGGCCCCGCCGGGCGCGCGGGGAAGAAUUAGGAGGAGGAGGGCGGAGGGAGGAGGCGGGAGGAGGGGGCGCGGGCGGGAGGGAGAGGGUCCCGGGCGCGGGAGGCGGCGGCGGCGAGGCGAGAGCGCCGACCUCGGCCGCCGCGGGGCUAGCAGGCUGGGAGGGGACGGGGGCGGGGGCGGAGAGAGGAGGCGGCCGCCGAGCCUCCCUGCCCAGGGCCCGGCCCCGCGCCGCCGCCCAGUCACCCUCGCCGCCGAGCCCUGCUCCCGGCCGGCGUCCGGGGAGGGGUCGGGCCCGGGGCUCUCCCGGCGUGGGGCGGGGCGGACGGCCGAAGCCCGGCCUCCUGGGCGGAGUGUCCCGCGGGGCCCCAGGGGUGUGGGCGCAAGGGGAUCCCCGCGAGGAGGGAGGAGGCCCCGGGGCCUGGGAGCGCGGUGUCUGCGCCCGUCGGGCGGCGGUGGCGAGGCCGGCGAGGGUCCCCCGAGCUGGGCCCGGGGAGCUCCCGGCGCGGUUUCGGAAAACCGUCUCCAGGAGUCGGGAGGACGCCCUCCGCCCGGCCGGAGGAGGCGGGGAACCGCGGAGUCGGGGGUGA